GCCUCUGUAGCUCAGUGGACUAGAGCAAGAGCCUUCUAAUCUCUAGGUCACAGGUUCGAAUCCUGUCAGGGGCGC
rnacentral:tRNA from 1 species